UACGUAGGGACCAAGCGUUGUUCGGAUUUACUGGCGUAAAGGGCGCGUAGGCGGCCGGCCAAGUCGGGGGUGAAAGCCUGUGGCUCAACCACAGAAUGGCCCUCGAUACUGGCUGGCUCGAGACCGGAAGAGGUUGGUGGAAUUGCGAGUGUAGAGGUGAAAUUCGUAGAUAUUCGCAAGAACACCGGUGGCGAAGGCGGCCAACUGGUCCGGAUCUGACGCUGAGGCGCGAA
rnacentral:rRNA from 1 species